rnacentral:lncRNA from 1 species
GACAGCAAACCCCACAGAGCUCCCGCGGGCAGCCUGCGGGGACCACAGCAAGCUCAGAGAGCAAGGAGUGGGAACAGAAACUGAGUGGAGCACUUUAGAGGACUACAGAUUCCACCAAGAACAGAACCGACCCGAGACUGCCCUGAACCUCAGGACAGUGGAAUGUACCCUUCCAGCCGAUGCAGUCAUGAUCCACCCGUCCAAACACACAGCCCGGCUGAAGGUGACCCGCCCGGAGCAAGAGAAUUUCUGGCCAACCAACUCGGGCAGGCCCCUGACAGCUCGAGAGUCUGUGCACCCUGACCGGGCACCAUUUCUGGGAGGAAGGGCCGCAGCUCCGAAAACCGAGAAGAAGAAGAACAAGCAGGGCAAGAGAACUGCGCUCGUGCUGUAGUCCUCGCGCAUGACUACUGGGCCGUGUGCAGGUGAGCGACCUCACGUGGUCUCUUGGCGACGGGGAAGGACACUGCUGGUGAGAACGUCGUGGGAACCAUUCCGUUCUUCCUCCCUCCCUUCCCCUGGCCUUUCCUUUCCCUUUGCGUGGGCAAGCACAUCGCUCACGAUCCUCAUGGGCUUCUUUUCUACUCUCAGGAAAGGGUUGCGACCUCCACAGAGUGUAUCCGAGGGGGAAAAGAGGCAAGGAGGUGAAAGCUGCAGAGGAAUCGUCUUCGCGAAACCCAGGAGGCCUCGGUCAGAGGAUGAAUGGCAGGGAGGCCGGCCGAUCCACGGGGCCGCGUUUCGGUUGCACCGCAGAGGAUACUGAAUUUCUGGGGAUGCAUAAGUCGACUCUUUGGUGACGCUCAGCGGAUUAUGGGAAGAGGCUCAUAAACUUGACAUGAAAGAACCGAAACUGCUCGCCUGGACCCGGUGUUAGAGCCUCUGAAACAGCCAGGGACUCUUGAGUGUAGCAGUUUGCCCCAGUGGGGCCUGUAAACCUUUCUCCUGUGACUUUUGCAAUAAACCAAACAUUGACAGUGU